rnacentral:rRNA from 1 species
GCGACCCCAGCUUAGACGGGACUACCCGCUGAGUUUAAGCAUAUCAAUUA